rnacentral:rRNA from 1 species
GACGAACGCUGGCGGCGUGCUUAACGCAUGCAAGUCGAACGCUGAAGCCCUUCGGGGUGGAUGAGUGGCGAACGGGUGAGUAACACGUGGGUAAUCUGCCCUGCACUCUGGGAUAAGCCUUGGAAACGGGGUCUAAUACCGAAUAGGACACAUCGCCGCAUGGUGUGUGUGUGGAAAGUUCCGGCGGUGCAGGUUGAGCCCGCGGCCUAUCAGCUUGUUGGUGGGGUGAUGGCCUACCAAGGCGACGACGGGUAGCCGGCCUGAGAGGGUGACCGGCCACACUGGGACUGAGACACGGCCCAGACUCCUACGGGAGGCAGCAGUGGGGAAUCUUGCGCAAUGGGCGAAAGCCUGACGCAGCAACGCCGCGUGGGGGAUGACGGCCUUCGGGUUGUAAACCUCUUUCGACCGGGACGAAGGAUUCGUUUGACGGUACCGGUAGAAGAAGCACCAGCUAACUACGUGCCAGCCGCCGCCGUAA